rnacentral:rRNA from 1 species
AUUGAACGCUGGCGGCAGGCCUAACACAUGCAGGUCGAGCGGAUGAAGGGAGCUUGCUCCUGGAUUCAGCGGCGGACGGGUGAGUAAUGCCUAGGAAUCUGCCUGGUAGUGGGGGAUAACGUCCGGAAACGGGCGCUAAUACCGCAUACGUCCUGAGGGAGAAAGUGGGGGAUCUUCGGACCUCACGCUAUCAGAUGAGCCUAGGUCGGAUUAGCUAGUUGGUGGGGUAAAGGCCUACCAAGGCGACGAUCCGUAACUGGUCUGAGAGGAUGAUCAGUCACACUGGAACUGAGACACGGUCCAGACUCCUACGGGCGGCAGCAGUGGGGAAUAUUGGACAAUGGGCGAAAGCCUGAUCCAGCCAUGCCGCGUGUGUGAAGAAGGUCUUCGGAUUGUAAAGCACUUUAAGUUGGGAGGAAGGGCAGUAAGUUAAUACCUUGCUGUUUUGACGUUACCAACAGAAUAAGCACCGGCUAACUUCGUG